rnacentral:rRNA from 1 species
GACGGAGGUGGCAAGCGUUGUUCGGAUUGACUGGGCGUAAAGGGCGUGUAGGCGGUUGCCCAAGUCCGAUGUGAAAGCCCGAGGCUUAGCCUCGGAAGUGCAUCGGAAACUAGGCAGCUGGAGCGCGAUAGAGGAGGGUAGAAUUCCUGGUGUAGCGGUGAAAUGCGUAGAUAUCAGGAGGAAUACCGGCGGCGAAGGCGGCCCUCUGGAUCGUUGCUGACGCUGAGACGCGAAAGCGUGGGGAGCAAACAGG